rnacentral:rRNA from 1 species
ACAAACAUAUCCGCCCGGGUACUACGAGCACAGCUUAAAACCCAAAGGACUUGGCGGUGCCUCAGACCCACCUAGAGGAGCCUGUUCUAGAACCGAUAACCCCCGUUAAACCUCACCACUUCUUGUUUUCCCCGCCUAUAUACCGCCGUCGUCAGCUUACCCUGUGAAGGCCUAAUAGUAAGCAAAAUGGGCCCACCCAAAAACGUCAGGUCGAGGUGUAGCGUACGAAGUGGAAAGAAAUGGGCUACAUUUUCUACACACAGAACAUUACGAACGAUGCAUUGAAACCAUGCACCUGAAGGUGGAUUUAGUAGUAAAAGGCAAAUAGAGCGUCCCUUUGAACUAGGCUCUGAGACGCGCACACACCGCCCGUCACUCUCCCCAACAACCAACCCAAAAAUACAUAAUAAAUUAAAUAUAAACACGGGGAGGCAAGUCGUAACAUGGUAAGUGUACCGGAAGGUGCACUUGGAAUAAU